UAAUACGGGGGGAGCAAGCGUUGUUCGGAUUUACUGGGCGUAAAGGGCGCGUAGGCGGCCAGCACAAGUCAGUUGUGAAAUCUCCGAGCUUAACUCGGAAAGGUCAACUGAUACUGUGCGGCUAGAGUGCAGAAGGGGCAACUGGAAUUCUCGGUGUAGCGGUGAAAUGCGUAGAUAUCGAGAGGAACACCUGCGGCGAAGGCGGGUUGCUGGGCUGACACUGACGCUGAGGCGCGAAAGCUAGGGGAGCGAACGGGAUUAGAUACCCUGGUAGUCCACGCCGUAAACGAUGGAUGCUAGCCGUUGGCAGGCUUGCCUGUCAGUGGCGCAGCUAACGCAUUAAGCAUCCCGCCUGGGGAGUACGGUCGCAAGAUUA
rnacentral:rRNA from 1 species